rnacentral:rRNA from 1 species
UACAGAGGGGGGCAAGCGUUGUUCGGAAUUACUGGGCGUAAAGGGCGCGUAGGCGGCCUUCUAAGUCGAACGUGAAAUCCCCGGGCUCAACCCGGGAACUGCGUCCGAUACUGGAAGGCUUGAAUCCGGGAGAGGGAUGUGGAAUUCCAGGUGUAGCGGUGAAAUGCGUAGAUAAUCUGGAGGACACCGGUGGCGAAGGCGGGUCU